AACGAUUAAAAUUGUGAUCCCCAACUCCAAAGAAGAAUUAUGAAUACCAAAGCUGCCAUUUUCGUUCUUCUGAUCCUUCUUCUUGUUCUUGUUCUUCAUCCGGCGAUGGCGGCCGCUAGCCCGUUCGCCAUGCCGUCUACGUUCACAAACGGUAAACUCCCAUAGCAUCAAAGUUUAUAAGCUUUCGAGGCUGUCCUGGUCGUGGCCUAGCCCACUUUCGAAUCUAGAAUUUGGCAAUUAUAUAUCAUGUAUAAUGUUUCUUAAUUAUAUUUAUAGGUUGAUUAUUUGUAUAUGAUGUCCGGUAUUUAUACCCAAAUCAUUCAACCAAUCUAAGAUCAGUUAGUGAUCAUAAAGAGUAGGCUAUAGAGUCUGUUACGGAAAAUUGAUGGACAACUGAACCAAACCUUGACGUUCAACUCUCAAUAAGUUGGACGGGUCGUAGAGGCGGUAGGGCCCUAUUGGGUUUUGGACUAUUUUGUGGUUUUGGUUAAUGAAUUGAGUCUAAUGACUUGAUUCAUCCCGGAUCCGCCGGUAAUGAUUGGGUUAUGGAGCAUGCAUGGUGGAUUGAGCAUUGGUAUUUGACUCAUUAGCCGAAAAAUCCGGUUGAGGAUUUACUCCACUUCCAACAUUGUUGUGGGGAGGAUUCGAUCUUCCAAAUGCAGCCUCUAACACCAAUGCACCAACAAAUCGUUGGUUGCCAAUGAGUUGGACUUGGGGUCCUAGGUUUUUGGGCUAUUUUGCGGUUUUGGCCAAUGAGUCGAGCCUUAUCAGUUAGUCUGCUUGGGUAGACGAUCGUCAUCGCAACAUAUAAUAGUCGAUAUCCCUUGUUUGAUAGAGCCCUCCGACGUUUUCUUCUCACGACUGGAUUAACAAUAAAUCUUUGUGUUAUGUGUUAUUAUUAUUAUAUAUAUAUUUCGUAAUUAUCCAUAGACUUUUUCCAAAAUUAUUUAUUAUAUGAUGUCAGAGACGGCGGAGGUCGAGGGUAUAAUAACGUUCAAAUGCUAUUGGAAAACUCUCUCCGAUUGCCCAAACAACGGCUACUGUUGUACUUGUUAUCAAGUCAAGAGGCUGAAGUAUUGCUCAACUUGUUGCUAGUAACUUUGCCAGCCACGUAAGUGCACGUUGUUAAUUUGGUGUCAGAUUGUAUGAUGCUAUUUCGAAUAAUUAGUUAUUCGAUAGUUUACGUAGAUUUAUGAUUUCUAAUUUAUUUUUUAUUUCUCUAUCAUCGGGUGCAGGUGAAGCGGACUAUAUCGAGAUGAAUAUUAUUCGAAGUGUACUCCUCAUAAAUUAUAUAUGCCUACUUAAUGAAUAAGUGGAUUUAUGAAUCCUUAUUUAUGUCUUUUUAAAAAAAAUAUGUUUCGUGAGUAGCGCAAUUGAUUGUGCGUAUUUGUGAAAAUAACAUCCCAACUUCAUAUAUUUAAGGUAUAAUUACUUGUUUUCUGGUUAAUCAAUAGUCUACCCGAGUAACGUUUGUAAUCGAAUCAACUCGAAAACUUGAGUAACA
rnacentral:lncRNA from 1 species